UACGUAGGGGGCAAGCGUUGUCCGGAUUUAUUGGGCGUAAAGAGCUCGUAGGCGGCUUGUCGCGUCGUCCGUGAAAACCCACAGCUCAACUGUGGGCUUGCGGUCGAUACGGGCAGGCUAGAGUACGGCAGGGGAGACUGGUAUUCCUGGUGUAGCGGUGGAAUGCGCAGAUAUCAGGAGGAACACCGGUGGCGAAGGCGGGUCUCUGGGCCGUUACUGACGCUGAGGAGCGAAAGCGUGGGGAGCGAACAGG
rnacentral:rRNA from 1 species